rnacentral:rRNA from 1 species
UACGUAGGGUGCGAGCGUUGUCCGGAAUUAUUGGGCGUAACGGGCUCGUAGGCGGUUUGUCGCGUCGGGAGUGAAAACCUCGGGCUUAACUCGGGGCUUGCUUUCGAUACGGGCAGACUAGAGGUAUGCAGGGGAGAACGGAAUUCCUGGUGUAGCGGUGAAAUGCGCAGAUAUCAGGAGGAACACCGGUGGCGAAGGCGGUUCUCUGGGCAUGAUCUGACGCUGAGGAGCGAAAGUGUGGGGAGCGAACAGG